rnacentral:ncRNA from 1 species
GAAAACGCAGUGAUGAAAAGAGUAAGUUUCCGGAAACUUUACAGAGAAUUCCCGAUAUGCUGAGAGGGAUAAGUGAAAAGAAACCGAACAUGGCUUCUGAGCGGUGUACUGAGCAAAUACUGUUUGUAAGGUAUAAUGGGUUCGCCCUUUACAGCGAGCGGGUAUGGAUUCGUACCCAUCGAGGUUUCUGUCGCGAGACAGAGAUAAACAGAAGUGGUAACACGGGUAAUGCUCGUCUUCUCU